GGUUCCGUAGUGUAGUGGUUAUCACGUUCGCUUUACGCGAAAGGUCUCAGUUCCGAUCCCGGACGGAACCA